CGACACCUGUCAGAGGGAAGCAUGGUGCCUGGUGCCACAGAAGUGUCUGCCUUUGAGAGGUGUGGGCUGCGCUUCAUAGGGAGGUCCAUGACUCUCACCCUUCAUGCCUCUCUAUUAAAAUGGUUUGUUCAGGAAGUUUCCUUCAGACCAGCUGACCACCCCAAUUUGCACACGCUGAGGAUGGGAUCUGCAGCCUACUCUUCUAUCAAACUCUCCACAGUGCGUUUAAGGUCAGCAACAUUUCGGAUCCACGGUGGCCCGAGGUCCUGGCAUGCCUUGGAACACACACCCUCCUCAUCAGCUGGUUCAGCUCCAUCUCUUUCCAAGCUUAGAAGCUGAGCCCAGGGACAGGGCCAUCGGCCACCAGUCACACUGCUGUGCAGAGGCAGAACCAGCACCGAAGCUCAGGUCUCCUAGUUUAUUG
rnacentral:lncRNA from 1 species